GGGGAAUAUUGGACAAUGGGCGAAAGCCUGAUCCAGCAAUGCCGCGUGGAUGAAGAAGGUUUUCGGAUUGUAAAGUCCUUUCGGCGGGGACGAUGAUGACGGUACCCGCAGAAGAAGCCCCGGCUAACUUCGUGCCAGCAGCCGCGGUAAUACGAAGGGGGCUAGCGUUGCUCGGAAUGACUGGGCGUAAAGGGCGCGUAGGCGGUUUGCACAGUCAGAUGUGAAAUUCCUGGGCUUAACCUGGGGGCUGCAUUUGAUACGUGUAGGCUUGAGUGGGGAAGAGGGUCGUGGAAUUCCCAGUGUAGAGGUGAAAUUCGUAGAUAUUGGGAAGAACACCGGUGGCGAAGGCGGCGACCUGGUCCUUGACUGACGCUGAGGCGCGAAAGCGUGGGGAGCAAACA
rnacentral:rRNA from 1 species